GCCUCCCCGACAGUGCUGAGCGCUCCAGCGUGGGUAUGCAGCUUCGGUAGCUUCAUGCUGAGAGGAAGCAAAGGGAUGAGAGAAGGACACUUUGCUUGAGGGCCUGAGAACAUUUAUUCCCCCAUGCGUGGACGGAGCGAAUCGCCCCCAGCGCAAUGCAAGGCAAAAUGGUGACGGGACAAAAGAAUGCAUUCGAUUAAGUAGUGGAAGUGAGUACAGCGUUCUGGGACGAAUAGCAGUGCCAAGGUGGGGUGAUUGAUGCAGAACUUUCAUGAAGAAAACCCCUGACUGACAGAACCUUGAAAGGAGAAAACUGUGUGAGGUGAGAAGAUUGACAUGCCUGAGUGGCAAGAGCUCCUGUGGUAAACAACUUGGAGCAAACCAUUGUGAGGGAAAGUAGGGGUACAGAGAACCAACCUAACUAACAUUAAUAAAAUCCCUGACUAAACCAA